rnacentral:rRNA from 1 species
AAACAAUGAUAUCUCCAUACUUAGUUAUCCGCCUGGGAAUUACGAACAUCAGUUUAAAACCCAAAGGACCUGGCGGUGCUUAAUAUCCCCCUAGAGGAGCCUGUUCUAGAACCGAUAACCCCCGUUCAACCUCACCCCCUUUUGCAGUGCCUGCCUAUAUACCGCCGUCGCCAGCUUACCCUGUCAAGGCCUAAAAGUAAGCAAAAUUGGUAUAACCCAAAACGUCAGGUCGAGGUGUAGUAUAUGAGGAGGGAAGAAAUGGGCUACAUUGACUACAUUAGUCUAAACGAAAAGCAUAAUGAAACUUAAGCUUGAAGGUGGAUUUAGUAGUAAGUAAAAAAUAGAGAGUUUU